CCGGGGCCCCGGGUGACUUCAUUUUUGCUUUGGGAGUGUGUUCGCCUGUUGGUGAGGCGCAGGUUGCCGGUGGUUUGUAGUUACCGCUUCCAUGGUAUUGGUUUGGCGUCAGCCCACCAAAUGAAGGAUUCUUGAUGCCCUUAGCAGUUACAAAGAUGGGCCCGUCCUGAGACCGAGAGGGCCCUGGACCCCGAAUCCUGAACUGAACAAGUGGAAUAUGCUCCAUAGCUAACAGAGCUAAUAUCUCGCUCCUCUCCGAUACUAGAGAAAGUGACAGAUUACCUGGACCGUCGGAUGCGGAGGAAGGACAUAGCUUUAGAAACAAACAGGCUCUGGUGUGCACACAACAGUGUGAAUAUGUAAAAUAAGGACAGUAACCUACUGUGGGUAAGGUGACGAUGUUCGAAAUGCCAUUUGUUAGGACUAGGCCUAAAGGAUCGCGUAAGAUAUGCAUUCCAUUAAAUUCGAUCUGUCCGCUGUUGGUUUGCAUGUUGCAGUGUUGCUGUUGCAAAUAGGUGAUGCACAAGAGUCCCAAAGAUUCUGUGCCUUCCAAGCCUUGAACUUGCAGGAGUUUGCUGUACAGAGUUACAGCUUACUUUGCACUCAUUGUGCAGUCAUUGCUUGCCUAAACACUUUGACGUCCAAAGUCGACCCUUUCUGUGAAAAUACACAAGUCUUUUUCUUGAGUUUCAGAAAUUCGCAUAAGCAGAUUGUGGAGACUUUACUGCUAUUUGGUCUUGGCAGACCCAUUUAUAGGUUGCUGUCGUUUUUUCAAAAAUUAUAUCCUUUUUUGAGCCAAAGACCUUUUGCCUAUUUCAACCAUGUUUUGAUGAUUCUGGUUUUGCCUUCCAUACCUAUGCAGAAAUGUCUGAUUGCACUUUUUAUAAAUGCCAGUAUGAACCUGCCAUUUCUCUGAUUAUUCUCCAAUUAUAUGCCAGUUUUUAAAAACUCCAGUUAAAAUGCUGUGCUAAAAAUACAGCACUGUAAAUAAUAUUUAAUAAUGCUACUCUGAGAUCUGGUCCCUUGAUGUGGAGAAUCAUAAAAGUAUUAUUUUCAUGGUCUGGGAAUGGAACCCAGACCUCAAGCAUGCUAGACAAGCACUCUACCACUGAGGUACAUCACAGUCCUUUACAUGGUUCUUGCUUUUUUUCCUCCCUUUUUAUAAAAUAAAUUAAUUUUAAGAGUUUGUUACAUUAUGUUGACAGUUUAUCAUAGGAAUUAAUUAUGCACUCACUGAGACCCAAAACAUGGAUUUUAAAUUAAACAUAAUUUAAUUCAAUAUUCAGGCUCUAGGAAACUAAUGAAAGAUAUGUAUAUUACCUUGUUUUAUCCCAGAGUGGUUUACAUGUGUCCAUGGUUUGAAUUAAUAUUAAUAAAAAGAUGUGCAAG
rnacentral:lncRNA from 1 species